AGAGUUUGAUCCUGGCUCAGAUUGAACGCUGGCGGAAUGCUUUACACAUGCAAGUCGAACGGCAGCACGGGGCAACCUGGUGGCGAGUGGCGAACGGGUGAGUAAUACAUCGGAACGUGCCCAAUCGUGGGGGAUAACGUAGCGAAAGUUACGCUAAUACCGCAUACGAUCUACGGAUGAAAGCGGGGGAUCGCAAGACCUCGCGCGAGUGGAGCGGCCGAUGUCAGGAUUAGGUAGUUGGUGGGGUAAAGGCUCACCAAGCCAACGAUCUGUAGCUGGUCUGAGAGGACGACCAGCCACACUGGAACUGAGACACGGUCCAGACUCCUACGGGAGGCAGCAGUGGGGAAUUUUGGACAAUGGGCGCAAGCCUGAUCCAGCCAUUCCGCGUGCAGGAUGAAGGCCUUCGGGUUGUAAACUGCUUUUGUACGGAACGAAACGGCGAGCUCUAAUACAGUUUGCUAAUGACGGUACCGUAAGAAUAAGCACCGGCUAACUACGUG
rnacentral:rRNA from 1 species